rnacentral:rRNA from 1 species
UACUGGACAAUGGGCGCAAGCCUGAUCCAGCCAUGCCGCGUGAGUGAUGAAGGCCCUAGGGUUGUAAAGCUCUUUUAGUGGGGACGAUNNUGACGGUACCCACAGAAGAAGCCCCGGCUAACUUCGUGCCAGCAGCCGCGGUAAUACGAAGGGGGCUAGCGUUUUUCGGAAUUACUGGGCGUAAAGCGCACGUAGGCGGACAUUUAAGUCAGGGGUGAAAUCCCGGGGCUCAACCCCGGAACUGCCUUUGAUACUGGGUGUCUUGAGUUCGGAAGAGGUGAGUGGAAUUGCGAGUGUAGAGGUGAAAUUCGUAGAUAUUCGCAGGAACACCAGUGGCGAAGGCGGCUCACUGGUCCGAUACUGACGCUGAGGUGCGAAAGCGUGGGGAGCAAACAGG